CCUCUUUCCUCCCCCCACCACCCCCCACUUUCUCUCAACAAUGUACCUCUAUGCCUGGCUGCCUGACUUAGAACUCACUAUGUAAACCAGGCUACCCUCAGACUCACAAAAGACAGCCUGUCUCUGUCUCCCAAGUGCUGGCAUUAAAAGUGGUGUGUGUGUGUGUGUGUGUGUGUGUGUGUGUGUGUGUGUGUGUGUGUUUAAACAGGAGUUGAAGCACAGAUUGCUAAGGGGGAAGCUUCUUCCCAUUUCCAACCCUGAAAACAGUAAAACUCUUUCUGAGUGCCAGGUCCCCAUAUUUACUGACACCUUUCUUCCUAGUAGCACACCACAUGACAGAGGCCUAACACCCCUGACUGUUUGGUCUCUCAACCCAGCUGAAGACCCCAGGAGCAAGUGUGAAUGAGCACUGCCAUCAUGCUUGGUCUUUGCACCUGUGUACUGUUCAUGCUUCUCACUACUCCUGCCACAGUAAUGAAGCCUGAGGCAGGAAGGACACCAUGCUACAAACUGGCCCAGGCCACUUAGAGGUGGUGGAUUCAGAGAAUUCCAAGCAUACUGCCAUCAGUGAGCAUUGAGAGAAAAUGUCAUGUCUGCCAAGCCCUCCACCCCUGGCCAAAAAUCUCAGGUUCAGUUAUGGCUUACCAGGUCCUGGCUCCUACCUGAGUUUUGUGCUGAGUUACAGACACCACCCCUUCCCUCACACGGUGCCAGUCUACAUGAAAGAGUCACGGGAGGGUAAGAGAUCUUAAAGAACAUUCCAUGUGAUAUCUGUAUUAUCACAAACUAAGAGAAAAGAAGGAGGAAAACCAUGUUGUGACUUCUGCCAUUCAUAGAUGCCCUUAUUACAUCCUCAAGAUAGUCAAAAUUCAUGUCAAAAAAUCAUUUUGGGAGCCCAAUUCACUCACACGAAUGCCUUUUUUAAGUGGCUUGGAGCUUUGCACUUUGUGUGAGCUCUGACACAAUGAACGCGUGGCAAGCACUGUCACAGAAACCCAGGCCUGUUGGCUUCCCAAGGGAAACUUGCUGUGCUCUAAACCAGUCACAGCUGAGAAGUCUGGAUGGGAUACAGGGCUGUCCAUAAUUAAGGAGUAACCUGUGAUUCCCUGGGGCAGCUGACUCAUUAUAACCAUCAGAGAUGCUUUGUAAAAGAUACAAAUUAUCCAACCACACACACUGUGGCUCUGUCUGCAUAAGUUGGAGAUAAACUUGUCAGAUUUGUAUUUUUUAUGUACUUCCCAUGACUCUGUCAGUCUGUCUUGUUAAUUACAGGAGCAUAAAAAGAGGUUGGGCUGGAACAAUCAUGAAAAGCUAUUGAAGCUUAGGUUUAAUGAACAGAAUAUUAAAGGAGGAAUGCUUAAAUUCCGCUGUGUCUAAGGAAGGAUCACAACAGUGACCAAGAGGGAGUAACCAGGAACCAGUGUUAGCAUAGAAUAGCUUACAAACCUGGCCAAUGAAUGCAGACUCCAAACCACAGUGAAUAUACAAGGUAGUUUCUGGACCAUAGGGAACAUCUCAAAGUGAUAAAGGGCAAAGCAGAGAGUAGACCAACACCAGGCCAAGGAUGGUAACUACAUGACUACUAAGAAGACAGACGCAGACAGAUUUGCAGGCUAGCUCAAUACUUAAUCCCAGCACCUAGCAGGGAAACAUGCCUGCUGAGUGAAAGGUAGAGUUUAACACAGGUAAGUUUAAAGGCAGGGUAUAGAGGGAACAAACCAUGAUGAAUGAAUGAAUCAAGGAUUUCUUCAAAACUCCAGUCAAUGAGGCUAGAAUUAAGACAGUGUGGCAGCCUAAAUAGUUAAAACAGAAUGGCCUUGUUUUCAAUCAAAGCUCUUCUUCAUGAUAUGGGCUUUCUUCUGAGACUUUAUAUUGGCUCCUACUCCACGAAAGAACAAGAUGACUUUGGGAUACUGGAAUGUAUUGUUGGCACAGGUAUGAAUGGCAAGCCUUCUUUCAGCCUUGGGAAGAUGGGUGAGAUCUGGUAGAGAUCUUGGUUUUCUGGCAGAAGAAAAAGGACAGCUUCUGCUCACAGGCAUUCUUCCCAGGGCCUGUUAGAUCACAACCAGCAGGCAUCCAAUAGCACAAUGGCUUGACUAGACUCCUUGUAAACCUUAAUGACGGAACUGACUGGGCUCUGUUUAGCCAGGUCAGUCUCAGACUAGACAAUCCUGAGAAGAUUCCAAACUACCUACGAUCGGGUCUGGGGAUGCUUCUGAAGGCUUAAAAAUGAGUUUUGCUUUUGGGGGAAAAAAAGCUAGCUGACCUCUUAAAAUUCUUUGCCAACUUAAGAUUAUCCUAGGUGCCCUUCAGGUGACCAUGGUACACCAUCCACUGUUAGGCUGCUCUUUGAAUGUCAGACGACACAAGAACAAGGUAUACUCUGUUGAGCUGAAUGUCAUAUAAUGCAUAAAAAGCAGAAAUAUGAUAAAUAUGCAAAAGCACUAUUUAUUGAUUAACAUUUUAAUGAAAAGAAAAAGGCAUUCUAUUCCCCCCAUAAGCAAGAGUUGAAAGGCAUCCUCAAAUUCCUUCUUGAACACCUAUCUUCUGAGCUUUCCUUCUUAAAUGACAACUCUCUACUGCUAAUAUCAGGCUGAAAGAUAGAGAGCCUUUGUUUCUGUCAAACUCUCCAGCACAAGUAAUUUGUCCCAUUAGAACUGACAAAAUACAUUUAAAGAAAGACUGCUAAGAGCUAUAGUAUUUCAGCUUUAAUUUCCUUUCUAGUGCAAAGUUUCCAGAGCCUGGCUUUCAUAAUGCCUUUUGAGGUCGUGCAUGGCUCCAAAUGACUUGACAGUUUCUUUUAAUUUACGGACAUCUGAGCAUGUUUAGAAAAUCCCACCAGUUGAAAACGCUUUCUUUCCUUAAACAUAUUUCCAGUUCAAAUUAGAUGUUUACAGCGGUCUGCACUGUAUUAUUUCUAAAGAUAAACAGUCAUGUAAAAAAUUGACAGAAAACCUAGCAACAUGUCAGUGCUGCCCCCACUCUGUCGGCCUUUCUCUUCACCGUCCUUCUGACAGUGAAAGUCCUCAGCUGCCAGUGGAAAGUAUGAAUGGAUCCCUAGGAACAGGCUUCCCUGCUGCCUCUGUUUCCUCAAGAAGGGGCCCCUAGUUCCUUUUCCCCAACAGCUUUGAACCUUGCCACCUGAGAAGCUUUUCUCCCCUCUGAGCUAAGUAUAAAAAAUUCACUACCUGCAGAUAUUUUUCCUUUCUUGCCAAAAGGAGUCUGAGCUCAGACAAUCACUACUUUUAAAUCCCAGGACACUACUGCAGUUUCCAAAUUAAAAUACAAAGUGCUGGAAAUAAUGUUCUGUAAUAGCUAAACUUUUAAAAAAAUCAUGUCUUUCAAGUCUGGGUAUAUUUAUGCUGCUUUAGGUGAAAGAAAUAGAGACAGGAAAGCAAUGUAAAUGGACGAAUAGCUGGUUUGGGUUUUACUAAGAAAGACUGACUCACUGUCCAACAAAGGCUGGAUGAAGGAUUCUCAAAUUGACAUUUUAAAAAUAUUUAAUCUCCCUUUGAAUGAUAGUUUAAGGGCUCAAAACAGAAUCUUUCCAAUAAAGCUGCUCACUUGGAAAACAUUAGAUUCUAGUUUGAACUGAAAAAAUGGUAGAGCCCCAAUCACAGGAGAUUUCAGGGACAAUCAGGCAGGGAGAGAAGACAAGCACAUUUAAGGGAAAUAACACCAAACCCCACCAUGCCUUAAGAAGCUAUCAAACCCAUUCAGAAGCUCCAAGGGGCUGUUUUCCUAGCAAAUCUCUGAACCAGGUUCUGCAAAGUGAAGGUCCCCGAUUCUGCACAGUUUACAAGAUCCUCUCUGGAAAAUAAUUUAAUUGAGCUCUUUCUUUGCCCUGUUUUGCACAGCUACAUAGCAAUGGUUGUUGUGGUUGUUGUUUUAUGUUGUUUUGUUUUGUUUUUUAUCUGAACUAUACACAGAAUAGCUCCAAUUUAGUUCAUAGCAAGUUCAGAACUAGCUGAGAGAGAUUACUAAUGUCAGUGGAUUAAACAUCUUUUGCCAGUGGGAAAUCCAAGUAAGUUUCAGAGUGUGUUUUCACAUCCCAAUCACUCAAAUAUUUGCUUAUCCUAUGGAGUUUCCAACUCUAAGUCCCCCAGCCUCGAACACUGUACAGUGAUCUGCUGGCCCACACAGCAGUGCCCCCACCCUACCCCUGAUUACAAAUGUCCAUCUUCUGCUAAAUGCCAAAAAUGUUUCCCAAUCGUCCAAGGGUCAAAAGUGGGGAGAGUAUCCAUUCCAGCUAAAGAUCUACGGUGUCUUCAAAGGGGCUUUUCCAUUAAUUCGUAUUGGGCAACUCACUAAAUGCCAAAGGACGAGCAUAGGGAACAAGAGUGAAAGAAAGGAUCAUUCCCUAAUUGAGCUGGCAGCCCUGGGACUGCAUGUCAAUAGAAGGCGCUUGGACUCCCACUUGCCAAAACAGAGCUGUAGUGGCCCAGGUAGGGGCUGCCACACUAGCUGAGAGCCCAGGAGUGCUUUCAUUGGGCAACGCAGAGAAAUCAACUCCAACCCCAGAAACACAAUCCGGAUCAGAAAUCAAGUUCCCACCGCCACCGAGAAGGAAAGAAGCUGGUAGUGGAAGAAGAUAGUCUCACAGGAAUCAUGAGGGUGGCAGGAAAGAGGUAUUCAUCCCCCAGCAGUCAGAGACCAAAGCCAACCCCCGGCUUCACUCCACGAGGAGGGUUAGUGGAAGAUCGCAGAGGCCAGAGAGCCCAGGCCUAUUCCAAAAAGCUCCACGCGGCCAGCAGCCUCCGUAUAGACCACCGACUGCUUCUCCACAUAGUGUGGGUGCCUUGCCACAGCAACAUGGAGCAUUAAACAAAUAAACUUUUAGAAACUUCCUCUCCAGA
rnacentral:sRNA from 1 species